rnacentral:other from 1 species
AUAAGCCUGGGGUAUUCGUGUAGACCGCAUAUUUCGGGGUCUACAAAUACUCUAACGGGAUUCUUUACUUCCGGCGGAAUUGCGUCUCUCUCACGAGGGAUACACGAAGUCGGGACGCGGAAACCCACCUUAAUAAUGGGCCCGGAGAAAAUUGGUUCUUACGGUACCCCGGGUAUUAU